UGCGCUGGAUUAUGACUGAACG
rnacentral:siRNA from 1 species